ensembl:lncRNA
CCAGACGCACGGAGAAAACACCCAUCUCAGGAUUUAUUACAACACGUUGUUUCCAAAUACAAAAGAAGGGGACAGGACAGGGAGCAGAGAGCGGCCGCGAUGGGGAAGGGGGCGGCAAGGAGGGGCGGGCAGGUGGGUGGGCAGCCCAGUCCAGAGGGACCAGGAGCCGGGCGGGCGGACCUGCCACCUCUCCUCCGCUGGACUUUCCAGCAAAUAAUAGGAGGGGGCCAGGUCCAUUCUGGGGACCCCAUGCCAGGCCACUGGGCUGGCAGGAGGGGGGAGGGCCCUGGGGCCCCACUCCACCCAACCCAGGGAGUGGGUGGGACUCACCAGGGAGGGGCUCUUGCUGGGCGCCUGGUGCCCCCAGCAUGGGGACAGGCGUGGGCUGGGGGGCUGAGACAGGGACUUCUCCCGUCACGACUCACUUCAGCCAGUGUCUCAAGAGCAAAAGCCCCCAUGUGCCCCGGGCCAGAAGCCACAGGGCACCAGCAGCCCUGGAGAAGGGUGGAGGGAGGGGAACGGGCCGUGGGACCUGCCCCCAGGGCUGUGGGGCUCAACCAGUAGCCCCCACCGCUGUCUCCUGGACAGCACAGGUGUGGGGCGCGGAGAGGGGACCAGUGCAUCGUCCACACCCAGGGUCACCUCAGAAACCCAACGCCAUAGACAGACAGGAGGCAAAUUUACAUAAUCAAUAAUAAUAAUAAUAAUUAACCAAUAAUAAUAAAUACUUAAACCUCUAAUCCAUAGAUUGCAAAUACAACAAUGAUAGCUUAUUUUCUUGGGGGAACGGGGUGGGGACAGAGGGAACAGGAACAGAACUUUCUCUCAAAGGAGGUUUGACGGGACAGGAGCUGGGGUCAAAAGAAGAACAGACAGAAUAACCAGCUGGAGGGCAGCUGGGGGCAGGCAACCCCCACCCACCUGCCCAAGCACUCAGUCCUGCCCAGGCCACCCCUCCGGCCAGGCCUUGGCCUCUUCCCAAGGUGACCAGCAUCCACUCUUGGAUGCUCCAGGACAUCUGAAGGUCGAGGGACACCCAUUCCUGCUGCCAAAAGCCUUGGGUGCCCCCCUGACCCCAGAUGGUGGGGGGUGAGGAUAGCUGGGGCUUUUCUCCUGCCCUCACCCCUAGGCUGGCCCACCUGGGCCAAAAAGCUAACGGUGGUUGGGGACUGGCAUGUCACCUUGAAGAUACCAGGGAGACUUGGGAGGGGAGCGCUCCACAGGAGAGGGGUGUACGGGGUUUUUCUCCUCCGAGGGCCCUGUGGGGGCUGGCAGACAUGGGGGACACCUCCAGCAUCUGCUCACAUGAGGGGCCUUUAGCUGGAGGGGGCUCUCCCAAGCGAAGGAAGGCCUCCACACUCCACCCCACCGCCACCCAGAGGCAUGAGGCGCCUCCUCUGAGAGUCACCUCCACCCGCAGAACAAGACCCGGCAUCUAUCUGCCCUCUGACCAGGGGAGCCAGCACGGCUGGCCCAGCUAUUCCCACUGCCCCCCAGGGGCCAAGAUCCCCCUCUGCCAGCUCCCCACUUGGCAGCUGGUGCUGGAGGGGGUGCUCACAAAGUGGAGGAGAGGGUAGCAGCCUCCUCGGAACUGCUGGAGCUCGUGCAGCUGGACCCAGGCUCAGAUGGGAGUGGGGGUGUUCCACCUCCACCCUGCCCUGGGGACUCACGUCUCCUCACACUCAGAGCCCCCUUCUCUACACUGCUACCCUCUUCCGGACCCCACCCUGGCCCCCCAACACCUGGCAGGCAACAGGCUGGGGGGAUGGGUGGCAGGGACGCCCUCAGUGGCAUGGAGCUGGCAGGGGGCUGUGAGCGCCUCCUGGGGGCCCCCCGCCCCCCCCC